AUGCCCAAGAGAAAGGUAACAGCAGCAGAAGGAGGCGAGAGGGAUGAGCCUCAGAGGAGAUCAGCUCGGCUAUCAGCGCUUUCUUCUCCGUCACAGAAACCGAACCCACCCAAGCCGGAACCAAAGGUCAAGAAGGCAGCAAAGAAAGAAAAGGCUGUGAAUGAUAAGAAGGAGGACAAGAAGACCAAGAAGGCAAAGGAGAACGCAGAGGCAGAGGCAAACGAGGAAAACCACUCUGAGAACGGAGACGCCAAGACCAACGAGGAGGAGGCGGCUCCUGAGGAGGCCAAGGAUGAGGCCAAGUCCGAGUAGCACCACUGCCCAAGCUUCUCCUCUACAAUCCCUUUCCCCCCCGAACCCCCAGCCAGCCAGCCAGCCCCCCCAAGUCUCUCACAUGGUUUCCCUCCAAGGCGUAUUGUUAACAGAGGAAUAUUUUUAUCAAUGAUUUUAUAAGUAUCCGUACAGAUUUUUAGCACAAAAAGCAAAGCUGAUUAUGGAGCGCCUUGCAGAUUUGCAGUGGUCAUAUCAAGUGUCUGCAAGCAAGAUGAACACACUAAAAUCUUUUUUAAAUGGCAUUUCAUGAUUGUUGAAGGCUUGUUUGGUGUAGAAAGUGCGUCCCUGCCGGAUUGGCUAUGUUGUGAGUUGUGUAUUUCUGUGUUUUUCUUCCCUUCCUCUCCUCACCCCGCCUCCUCUCCUCUUCUUCCUCCACAGAUUAGACCUUCCUCCCCCUACAGUUCAACCUUUUAUCCAUGUUUUAUUAACGGUUCAGCCAUGUUAGAGUGGGUGAUUAUUUUAGACCUCUAAAUGUGCAGUGAGUUCCCUUUUUGCUUCUGUCUCUUGUUUUUUUGUUUUUGUUUUUCAUUGAAAUCGUGUUUAAAAAAAAAAAAAAGCGUGUUGUCCAUAAGAAAGAGGAAGACGAACAUGUGAAACAUUCCGGGAACAGUGAUUGCCUCCGACCUGUCUCCUAGACGACCCUGCGUGCGGAAACAGCUCCUGCUCCAUCCACGCCGUCAUGUCAGCUUUUCUAAAACACUCUGGUUUUUUUAAACGAUCGAAUUUGGAAACCCUCUCUGACAAAAUGCAGGUGUCUGGUCCCUCUCUUAUGUUCUGAAAUUCUCUUAAUAAAAACAAGUCCUGGGAAUUUUCCUCGAUCAUGUGUCUGGAGUUUGUUUCUUUAAGAGAUAGAAGUGAGAGCUUCCACAUUAACACCAUAAUAGUCAAUAAUCA
rnacentral:lncRNA from 1 species